AGGCUCCUCUAUGUUUCCUAUAUAUAGGCUAGGUCCCCCUCUCCUCUCCAUAUGGUUGAUAGCUUGCCCCAUUGACGGCUAUCUUUUGUGAGGAGCAAGGAAGGGAAGAUCCAGCCGCUAUUAUUCCAGGUGAUUGAAGAACGUAUUCAAUAUGUCUUCCGCAGGUAUAUCUCUCAAACUUGAAUACGGCAUUAUUGUGAUUCUAAAUCUUAGCAUGUUAUUAUUUAUGACUAACAAUUGGUAUCAAAGCCUCUAUACUAAGAUUAGAGUCCUUCAUACACAAUUAUGAUUUCAUCUAGACUUACAGAUUAAUUUUAUGCAUUGGUGAAUGGAUCUUCUGCAUAAAUCUGCAUACACAGAUUUUUCAUUGAUAAUC
rnacentral:lncRNA from 1 species